AUGGGCAUAAAAUGGCCUUGCAGGAGGUGGAGGCAGCGGCCUCGGACGAGGCCCUGCUUUUUUCCAUUCCUCAAUGAGUUCCUUCUCGCUCUUGGGAGGUGGAGGAUGCGGCAAAUCAGAGGAGAGAGGAGACUCUGGGCCAGCUAA
rnacentral:rRNA from 1 species